GCCGAAGCGCGGGCCGGGGGCCAAGUCGUGCGACCCGGCCCAGGUCCUGGUGCGGGCGGUGGCGUGCACGCGCCGCAUCAACCGCUACGGGGAGGGCAAGGCGGCAUCGCCAGAGCUGCGGCGCCUCAGCCCGCGGCCUCGCCCGCCCCCGCCGCCACCGGUCAGGAGCGCUCCCCGCGGCCCCCUUCCGGCUGCGGAGGGCAGUUCUCCCGCGGCUCCGCGCGGCCGGGCCGGGACCUCUCACGGCUGGCGCUCCCCGGGCGGCUCAGUAACAUCCACCUUGGGAGGUCUUCUCCUGCGGCCCCCUUCCAAGAACCAGUUUUUACAAAUCCUUUCAGGAAGGCUCCCCAAGUCUCAGAAAAACAAGUAGGGGAGUGGCGGGGAGUCGAGUGCGUGACUGGCCAGCUGACGGCACGGUGUGCUCAGAGAACUUCUCGGGUUCUGGUCGCUCCUCGCAGGGAAAGAAGGAAGGGAUGGCUGCCUCCUGACGAGCGAAAAAUCCACGUCACGGGGGUUCGAGACUACGCGACACCCGGGUCGGGGCCCGAACCGGCGUCCGCGGGCGGAUCACGGAGCCGCGCAGGUCCCCGGCAAGACCCCGGAGCACGCGCCUGCCAGGCAGAGGCCGCCGGGGCCCGGAGGGGGAGGGGGAUUUUUUACCCCCCCCUUUUUUUUUUUUUUUUAGCGGGGAGGGGUGAAGAGAGCGAGGUUUGGGGAUCCUUCUCGGAGAGAGAGAGGCGGGCGUCGUUCCUUGUCCACCGCGCAGGCCGAGGCGCUUUGCCGAUCCCGCACGUUGGGCAAGUAGGGGCACAAUGUCCCCGGGCACUCCGGUCCCGGCAGGUCAGCCUCUCCUGGGCAGCGCUCACACCCAGUCCUCCGAGCCUGCGGUUCCACGGCCGAAAUGCCUGCGACAGAGGAUUAGAGAUAGAAGCUCGUGAAUGUCCCUUUCUUCGAAGGGCUGGGACCCGGGGCGGGCUGCUGGCCAGCUCGCCCGCAGCUCGUUGCCAUGUGCUCCCUGUUGCUGCUCCCGGUGAUUGA
rnacentral:lncRNA from 1 species